ACUUACAUGCACACUUUCUCAAAAUAAAAAAACAUUUAAAAAGAAAUAAGAUACCUUCCAUCUUAUUCAGUCAUUGUUAUUUGGUCUCUAGUAAAGUUUGGUUACCAAACUGGUAUCCUAACUAAGACUUACUAUGCCCAGUAUCCUGUUACUGCUUAACAUAGAACUAGAAAUUCUGAUUUAGACUAUAAGGAAAGAAAAAGAGAAUAUCAGUAUUGGGAAGAGAAAUAAAACUCAUUUUUACUUUAUCUUAUUUAUAUUUAUAAGGUUAUCUCUACAUCCAAAACGAGGCUUGAACUCAUGACCCUGAGAUCGAGAGUUGGAUGCUUCACCAACUGAGCCAGCUAGGGCAUCCCUGAAACUCAUUAUUUUUAAGUCGUAUUUUCAGAGGUUCAAGUGCAUGUGUGUAUUACAAAAAACACUAGAGCAGCAGCCAGUUAGAUAAUGUAAUUAAAAGGAAAAGAUACUAUUCACAGUAGCAGUGAAAGCUGUAAAGUAUUUAGUAAUUAAGUAAUAUGCAAAUAUCCUGUGUUUGUUUUAGUAGGUGGUGUUGGUAAACUGGCUUUUUACAUGGAGAAAAACAGGAUACCUAACUCGGAUCAUGUCCAAAGAUGGUCUCUCAAUGGACUAAAGGUCUUAAAUGUGAAAGUGGGAAGAGUAGGGGAUGAAAAAUUGAUCAUCUCGGAGAUAAAAGCAUAUCCUUCAGUGAGCUGUGGCUGAGCCUGACCUGCAGCCCUGAGGAAACCUGUAUCCCUGGCCUGAAGCGAUUCAAGCUUUUGCUUCUGUGAUUACCUCCAACCUUCAGGAUGGGACAGCUGCCGCUCCUCUUCAACGUUGCACUAGAUACGCACUUCCAGACCAGUGGUGCUCACAGUGUGCCCCGGAUCUGCAGCGUAGUGUCUCCUGGGAACUUAGUAGAAAGGUACAUCCUCCUGUGCCAGACCUCCAUCAGAAAGUCCACAGUCGAUCCCCCACAGUCUGGCAUCAGGCCUCCCAGGCUUUUGAUCCAGCCCACAGACUUCUGCGAGGCCCGAGUUCUAAUUCUGUCAUUUAUUGUAUGUGGACCGAGUUAUUUCUUGCUGUGCCUCAGUUUCUGUAUCUGUGAAAACAGAGCCAAUUCUCAUGCCCAGGGGGGUUUUAUGCGCAGGGCCUUGGGUAGAGUAUGAGCUCCAUUGUCCUCUCCCCUCCCCUUCCUGGGAGAGAGACUGUACACCAGCCCUCCUCCUACCCUAUGUGCUGUGCAAGCUGCUCCAUGAACACUGCACUGUGUUCUGGGGCAUGAGGCCACCUCUAUUGCUUUGAAAAUCCAAAAGGGAAGCACAGGGGCCCAGAAAUCUAAAGUCCACACCCUGGGUGUUAGGACACUCUGAAUUCCCUGCUUGGUUCAGAGGGUGGGGUGAAGGUGGAGGAAUGAAUCAUUUUUGUGUUAACAGAAGGUUGGAGAAGAGGACAGAAAACCCCCUCCCUGAAAGCCAGUGGGGAGCAGCUGACCAGCAGAGGCCGGGAGCCUGCACCAGUGGCCAGGCAGCAGCUGAGGCAGAAUCUCAGCACCAUCAGCCACACACACUGAUGCCAAGGCCCACAACUUCCUUACUGGAGGCUAUCGCAUCCCAGGGAUGCAUGGUGGCUGGACCCAUGGUACAGGUCAGCAGUGUAGCACAAAGCAGCACACCCAGCAGGCACACAUACAAUUAAAUAGCAUGUUUAAUCAUCUCACAACAGACAGUAGUGCAGUAGUGUAAACUAAGUUUCUUUUCAAAAAGUCACUCCCCCAAAGCUCCCAUUCCCCAACACCCAGGAUGACCAUGGCUGAGGAACCAGUGACAGGGCCAGAGGGAUUCAGGAAGUCUCUGCUCCAAGGAGCUAAAAGUCUGUCCAGGUAGCCUCACAAGUAGCCAAGAGCCCUAUGAGGAGUUGAUGUGUGCACAUUCUGACACACACACACACACACAUACAUACAUGCAAGGGACACACAAGACAGACACAGAAGAGACCGCCAUGGGGCAGUCGCACACAUGCGCUCAUGCCAUCACAUUCCAGUCAGCGUCUGACUGUCUCCUGCGGGCAGGGCAUGGGGGCCUGAGCCCUGAAGCAGCAGGUCAGGAUGAAGGAAAGGGUCUGUGGCCAGCCCAGCUGUCUGACAGAUGGCCCUGCAGCCAGAGGGGCCCCUCCAUUCCGGAAACAGCCAGUCCUCCCCUAAUCUCAGGCUGGACACGGGCAUCAGUGGUGAGGACAGGGGGUUCCACUUUCUCUGGACCUAGCGAAAAGAUAACGGCUGUGUCCCAAAGAAGAGAACAAAGAAUGUGCCCACAGGCAGGCUCUCGGAGCAGGAGGCUGGUGGUGCUUGUUCUACAGCCAGGACUUGCUGUGCGGGUGCCGUGGGAGCAGCAACACUGCCAACAGGGAACUGGAGAGGCAGCUGGGAGCUGGCUGGACGGCCCUUGGAGCAGAGGAGGGGUUUGCGAAAAGGAGGCCCUGAGGUGAGGACAUUUGGGCGGGGGGGGGGGGGGGGGGGGGGUGGUGGCUACCAGAAGGGUUUUAAAGAGGAAACC